GGGCCCGCACAAGCAGCGGAGCGUGUGGUUAAUUCGAUGUUACACGAAGAACCUUACUAGGGUUUGACAUGCAAGUGGUAGGAAACCGAAAGGUGACCGACCCUUCGGGGAGCUUGCACAGGUGCUGCAUGGCUGUCGUCAGCUCGUGUCGUGAGAUGUUCGGUUAAGUCCGCUAACGAGCGCAACCCUCGCUGUGUGUUAUAUGUGUCACACGGGACUGCCGGUCUUAAGCCGGAGGAAGGUGGGGAUGAUGUCAAGUCAGCAUGGCCUUUAUAUCCUGGGCUACACACACGCUACAAUGGCCAACACAAUAGGUUGCUAAGCCGCGAGGUGGCGCCAAUCCAUAAAGUUGGUCUCAGUUCAGAUUGUAGGCUGCAACCCGCCUGCAUGAAGAUGGAGUUGCUAGUAACCGCAGGUCAGCUAUACUGCAGUGAAUACGUUCCCGGGGCUU
rnacentral:rRNA from 1 species